GGCCAACAGCACACUGAGUUGUUUUAACAGGAGUGUCACUUGCAAAUCAAGGGAAGUGAUUUUUCCACCUUAUUCAGUACUGGCGAUAGGUCUCCUGGUCGUAAUCGGAAAUAAGAUUGGUCAAACAAGACCUAACCGCCACAAACCCAUGCUGGCUAUCCCUCAGGAUGCUGCCAUCAGCCAGUCUGUUAAGAAUGGUGGAGGAAGUAGUCCCAGAGUCUGCAGGCAAUGGCGUAGACAGAUUUAUGAAGUGAAGUGAAGUUUGUAGGCUUGUCUACAAAAGGUGUUUCAUAAAUUCCCUUUGACGAUUAGAACUGAGAAAUUGGAGAGAGAGAGGUUGUCUUGUGAGAAGUGUGCACCCACAGGACUCCCAGUCCAACAAAGACCAGUUCCCAAGAAGCAACACUGCAUCAAGGAAUGAUUCUUGUCAGAAUCUUGGAAGAUCUGUUUUUCCUGUAGCUCCUUCUCUUACAGCCACUGCCUUUGCCGGAACAUUGCCUAACAUGACAGCACCAUAGCCUGUCUUCCCAAGACUAGCCAUUUGUUCACACGUAUUGAGAAAAAGCCUGGAAGUGUAUGUAUAACAAUGCCACCUGAUAAUGCCUGCUUUUGACUGAAGAACACACUUUGAAACGUAUUUCAUAUACAUCUGAAAAAUUAUAUGAUUAAAACAUUUUUUAAAUAUCAAUGAAACAUGCAACUGAAAACCAACCCGUUUCUUUCCCCUAUCAGUGUCUUCUAUGUUUAGCCCCA